AUAAGCGCCGGUAAGGUGAUAUGAACCGUUAUAACCGGCGAUACCCGAAUGGGGAAACCCAGUGUGAUUCGUCACACUAUCAUUAACUGAAUCCAUAGGUUAAUGAGGCGAACCGGGGGAACUGAAACAUCUAAGUACCCCGAGGAAAAGAAAUCAACCGAGAUUCCCCCAGUAGCGGCGAGCGAACGGGGAGGAGCCCAGAGCCUGAAUCAGCAUGUGUGUUAGUGGAAGCGUCUGGAAAGGCGCGCGAUACAGGGUGACAGCCCCGUACACAAAAGCGCAUGUGCUGUGAGCUCGAUGAGUAGGGCGGGACACGUGGUAUCCUGUCUGAAUAUGGGGGGACCAUCCUCCAAGGCUAAAUACUCCUGACUGACCGAUAGUGAACCAGUACCGUGAGGGAAAGGCGAAAAGA
rnacentral:rRNA from 1 species